rnacentral:tRNA from 1 species
GUUCCUAUAGUUGAAGUACACAACGGCGGCUUUUCGAGCCGCGGGUCUUGGAGUGAAACCAAGUGGGAAUG